rnacentral:tRNA from 1 species
UUAAUUGAAACCAAAAUUAGAGGUAUAUUAUUGUUAAUAAUAUAAUUGAAAAUAAAUUUCCAAUUAAA